rnacentral:rRNA from 1 species
AUGGCCACCAAGGCCCCGAGCUGGUCCACCCGCUUCAGAUCUCCGGCCAGCGCCGUUUGGUUCCUGCCGGCCGCCGUCUUCAUCCUCCUCCUCCUCCUUCUGCGCCGCCCGACCAUGGACCCCUAUGCUCCCGCCGCUCCUCGCAGUCCCGUGUCUUCCCGGCGCGCCGAUCUGUACGGCAGGAUGGCGCGGGACCUUGACGAGCGCGGCGCGGCCUUCUUGAAGGGCGGCGAGACGUCGCAGUCCCUCACGCUCUCGGACCUCUUCGACAUCAGGGACGGCGCCGUCGUGCCCAGGCUCAAGGCCGCCGACCCGCCGGUGCGUGCAAACGUGCUCUACCUGGACCCGGUGUUCGCCGCCGAGAUAGCGAAGGCCGUGAAGGAAGUAUUUCUUCCUUAUUUUGAUAAAGCUAUCUGGUUCCAAAAUUCGAGCAUGUAUCACUUCAGUAUGUUUCAUGCCUCCCAUCAUCUGGAGCCAAUCUUAGCAACCAAGGACGAGAUUGAAGCCGAAGUCGAUGCUGUAAAAAGAGUUACUGAGGCUGCUUGUCCCCUUAAAAUUUCCUUGGAUCGAGUGGUCUUGACAGCAACUGGAGUUCUUCUUGGCCUGUGGCAGGUUGAAUCUGGUACUGAUCCUGCCGACAUCCGCUCAAAAUUGAGAGAAGCUCUACCUCGAGCACCCCAAAAGCAGUUGUAUGAUCCUGUUCUCCUCCACACAUCCUUUGCGCGAAUUCUGGGACCUCCUAAGCUCCCACAACAGGAGGACACAUCAUCUUUCAGUCACAUCAAAUUCUUCCAUGAUCUCGUUGCACAGGUUAAUGGGAAAAUCCGUGGCUUCCAGGCAAAGGUAUCAGAGCUGUGGUAUGUAGAAGAGUACGAUGUGCUAGCCCUAGCACUGAACGGAAAGAUGAGAGUGCGGAGGCUCCACCUUGGCUGCAAUGAGAGCCAAGAUAACUGA